GACGAACGCUGGCGGCGUGCCUAAUACAUGCCAGUAGAACGCUGAAGGAGGAGCUUGCUUCUCCGGAUGAGUUGCGAACGGGUGAGUAACGCGUAGGUAACCUGCCUGGUAGCGGGGGAUAACUAUUGGAAACGAUAGCUAAUACCGCAUAACAGUAGAUAUCGCAUGAUAUCUGCUUGAAAGUUGCAAUUGCAUCACUACCAGAUGGACCUGCGGUGUAUUAGCUAGUUGGUGAGGUAACGGCUCACCAAGGCGACGAUGCAUAGCCGACCUGAGAGGGGGGUCGGCCACACUGGGACGGAGACACGGCCCAGACGGCUACGGGAGGCAGCAGGAGGGAAUCGUCGGCAAGGGACGGAAGACUGACCGAGCAACGCCGCGUGAGGGAAGAAGGGUGUCGGAUCGGAAAGGUCGGUUGUAAGAGAAGAACGAGUGUGAGAGUGGAAAGUUCACACUGUGACGGUAUCUUACCAGAAAGGGACGGCUAACUACGUG
rnacentral:rRNA from 1 species